rnacentral:rRNA from 1 species
GGGCCCGCACAAGCGGUGGAGCAUGUGGUUUAAUUCGAUGCAACGCGAAGAACCUUACCAGGGUUUGACAUCCUGCGAAUCUCUUGGAAACGAGAGAGUGCCUUCGGGAACGCAGUGACAGGUGGUGCAUGGCUGUCGUCAGCUCGUGUCGUGAGAUGUUGGGUUAAGUCCCGCAACGAGCGCAACCCACGUCUUUAGUUGCCAGCAUUUAGUUGGGCACUCUAAAGAAACUGCCCGUGAUAAGCGGGAGGAAGGUGUGGAUGACGUCAAGUCCUCAUGGCCCUUACGAGUAGGGCUACACACGUGCUACAAUGGCGCAUACAGAGGGCAGCAAGCUAGCGAUAGUGAG